rnacentral:rRNA from 1 species
UACGAAGGGGGCUAGCGUUGUUCGGAAUUACUGGGCGUAAAGGGCUCGUAGGUGGCCAACUAAGUCAGACGUGAAAUCCCUCGGCUUAACCGGGGAACUGCGUCUGAUACUGGAUGGCUUGAGUUCGGGAGAGGGAUGCGGAAUUCCAGGUGUAGCGGUGAAAUUCGUAGAUAUUCGCAAGAACACCAGUGGCGAAGGCGGCUCACUGGCCCGAUACUGACGCUGAGGCACGAAAGCGUGGGGAGCAAACAGG